CUCUGUUUCGCUGUUUUUCUCAAAGGCUUUGCAUUUGAAGAGGUACAAACAGCAGCUAGGGUGGAACAUUUUCACCUGACACAUACCUGACAGCAACUUUUCUCACUGGCAGAGCUGUUGGCGGACACGCCUGUGCAUCAAAGCUCCCGAUCGGCAAAGGCCGGAGAGAGAAGGGCGCCGGAGAAGCAUGCGGGACUGCGGUCCACUAAACCCGGCGAGAAACGGAAAGAACUUUAGAAAUGGCCCUCCAGGAAUCUGCUGACGCGUGAGUCAUUAAGUCUCUGGUAGAGAUGCUUUGGAAGUGUCAGUGUUAGCCUGUUAAUGAGGCACGAGUCGGUGUGAAGGACUUUUGGAGGCUGGAGCUGGUGCUGCUGUGGAACCAAAGAAAACCUGCAGCUGUUCAACAUCAGCCAGUUGUUAAUCACAGGGGCAGGAGUGGAACCAGACUCCUGAGGCGCGGCCGUGACGCUGACUCAGAGUGAUGUUAAAGAUGAGUGAAUACACCCCAACCCAGCACCAGAGCCUGAACAGAAGGCGUCCUGCUUGCCGUGGCGCUGGACAGGAGCUCGCUGAGGGGGCACUCCUGGCACAACCUCCCUUUGUGUGAAGAUGCACCAGCACUGCUGCCCGGUCAAAGUCUUCAAAAUCAUGAGCAACCUCAAACUGUCACCGUGUAAAACUGGCUUGACACCAAGACACUCACCACUAAGCAUGCGCAGCAGGUGCUGUGGUGGAGGGACUAGAUUCAGGUGAAACGCUCAGCCGGCUUUUAAACCUGCAGCUCUGGCUUUACCUGAUCAUUUUUUCCAAAUUUAGGUUACUUUGACUGCCAACAUUAAGACCUCCCACACUACACAAAGGGGGUGGUUUGGGAGGGGCUGUAGCACAUAGCCUAACAGGACGCUGCCCAGGAGGACGCAGAGACAGCGUGAUGGAGGCUGGACUGGGUUCUGCUGUGUACCUGAGUUCAUCACAGGGGCGGAGGGCUUCUACCAGUAGCGAGUCAGACAGGAGCUGAAGUGGAGCGUCGAUGUGGAGAGUAGGUCUGUGUACACACAGGGUCUGUGAUAGACUUAUGGAGGAUGAAGCUGGUACUGCUAUGGACCCAAGAAAACCUCCAGCUGUUCAACAGCAGCUAGCAGUUCAUCAUGGACAGGAGCUGAAGUGGAACUGGGUUCUGAAGCUGGAGGGGAAGGCUGGAGGAAACGUGACUGUCAACCUCGUCACCAAAGUCACAAUUAGUGAGUUCCAAGGUUGGUUACUUUUAAUUUAAGAUAAGAUAACCUUUAUUAGUCCCACACAUGGGAAAUUUAUUUUGUUACAGCAGAAAGUGGACAGUGCAAAGUUACAUAGCAAAAAUUAGAAAAACACUGGAAUAGGAUAAAAAUAACAUACUGUACACAACUAAAAUAGAAUACAAAUACUAUAUACAACUGAGUAAGAUACAACAUUGUCAAAACAAGAGUAUUGCCCUUAGUGUUAUUGCUAUUGCACAUGUGUGGA